GCGCCCAGCCCCUCGCCGGAGCAAGGUCAACACGGCAAGUGUGUGCUCCGCUUCCUCCGGAGGAAUAGUCUUUAUUCUUAAUCCGAGAUCCUGUAGGCUGUGAUAAUCCGUGAGCGUGCUGCGGGGUAAUCUGCCCUCUCUCCUGCUGCCGUUAGCUGCACGGUCGGCUCCGUGGCUGGGUGGCCUAAUGGCUAAUGGAGCUGGUGGUCCCGGGGCCAGCGUAGCCUCUGGAGCCCAGCGAGUGCCGUUGAUGGUUGUCUGGGGUCGAGGGCGGUCUGGAGGAAAGGAAAAGCCACUCCAAUGGUCUUCAGGUGAUCAGGCAGGGAUGCUCUGGGCUGCUGAUUUUGUCGUUGGGCAGGGGGUCCCCUGGAUUUUAUGGUCCUUAGCAGGGCUCAAAGAGUCGUCGAGUGGGGCUGCAGUAGGAGUGAGAAAGGUAAUGUGCUUCUGCCCACCCCCCCCAUGCACUGUUACAGUGUCCCCAUGUUUUGCAUAAGGGAAGCCACUGCUUUUCCAACAGGAAAAAAAGGUUGAUGAAAAAAAAGAGCUGACGGGCCCAUGAUCCUAUGGACUGCUCCGUACCGUUAAGGAGGAGCAAGAGUUGCUGUCCUUGGGGGACCUCUUAGUACCAGGGUUCCAAGGUACAACUCACUGUAGAUGCAGCACUUCGAUUCCCCUGGAAGCCAUUCUGUCACCCUGGCUCCUUCAAGUACAGGUGUACUUAAUCACAGAAAACCAUUUUGCUAUGGAGCCAGAAGCAAGGCUUUCCAUCUUUUUCCACUUUUUCACCAAGAUCAGCUCAGCCAAGGGGCAUCUGGGCAGUCGGCUAUGGGGACAGUAACACCGGUUCCUUGUGUGCCCUUGCUUCCCACCAGUGCUCGAUAGCAAGUCUGUACGGUUCUGCUUGGGAAAUUGAGUUUGGUUCAUAAGUUAACUACAUCUCUAUGCAGAGAGCUAAAGUUCAGCUUAUUUUAGCCUAGUUUAGCAAGUUGGCAUUUUAGGUCCAUCAGGAAGAGCCGUGCAGUUUUGCUUCAACUGGGGAACCCAACGCUGCUGGAGGGCGAUAUAUGUGAUUGGGGUGCCGCAUGAAUGGCAUGUGGAAGACUAUCUGCCUGGUUUGGGUUUUUUUGGGGGGGGGGGUUGGUUUGGUUUUUUUUUUUUCCUGCCUGUGGCUGCAGCCUUUCUCCUGCUGACCUUCUGGUGCUGUCUUUUAGGGAAGUCAGCUGAGCUGGAUUAUCAAUCAAGCCCAAGGAGACAAAAGGAGGCAGGUGGAAGCUAGAGCCUGUGUCUCUGGGAGUGGAGUGAUGGAGGAGAGCAGCCAAAGCUAGUGCUCCAGGAGGAGGGGGGGAAGGAUGAAGAGUGCUGGUAACCCAGGUGUGGGCAAUAAAGUAGGGCAACUCCUGCUGUGAUCAUCCUUUGUACCUCCUGUGGGUCAGUCACUUGGGCUGGUGCCAUUCUUACAUGGACAAGAGGAUGUCUCUCAGCUCUGGUCCCAGUCUCUUCGAAGUCUUGGGAAAUAUCUUACAAACUGGUUAACUGGGGCUGCCUUCAGCGUGAAGUUCUCUGUUCCUAUUGACAGUCUGCAGGUAUAAUUUUCCUUAAAUUGCCUGAUAUCUUUCAGGCUUCAGUCUUUCCCAGCAGGGACGAGCAGAUGCUGUUACCUGAAUCAGAUUUUUCUUUUGUCAUCUUAUUCAAUGCAAUAAAGCAAGCUUUAAA